UACGUAGGGGGCAAGCGUUGUCCGGAUUUAUUGGGCGUAAAGAGCGUGUAGGCGGCCGUACAGGUCAGCUGUGAAAACUCGAGGCUCAACCUCGAGACGUCGGUUGAAACCGUACGGCUAGAGUCCGGAAGAGGAGAGUGGAAUUCCCGGUGUAGCGGUGAAAUGCGCAGAUAUCGGGAAGAACACCCGUGGCGAAGGCGGCUCUCUGGGACGGUACCGACGCUGAGACGCGAAAGCGUGGGGAGCGAACAGG
rnacentral:rRNA from 1 species